GAUGAAGAACGUAGCGAAAUGCGAUAAGUAAUGUGAAUUGCAGAAUUCAGUGAAUCAUCGAAUCUUUGAACGCACAUUGCGCCCCUUGGUAUUCCGAGGGGCAUGCCUGUUCGAGCGUCAUUAUAACCCCUCAAGCUCAGCUUGGUGUUGGGGCCUGCUGCACUGGCAGCCCUUAAAAUCAGUGGCGGCGCCAUCUGGCUCUAAGCGUAGUAAUUCUUCUCGCUAUGGAGUCCUGGUGGAUGCUUGCCAUCAACCCCCAAUUUUUCAAUGGUUGACCUCGGAUCAGGUAGGGAUACCCGCUGAACUUAAGCAUAUCAAUAAGCGGAGGA
rnacentral:misc_RNA from 1 species